AAAACCAUUUCUCUCCCUGUAAACUCUUUAGCUCUCGAAUUCUGUCUUAUCAUUUUCCCUCACCAACACCUAGCACCACCAUCACAACGUCACUUUUCCCGGCCUGAAACCGGCAAAGUGCCACUAGUGAAAUCUCGGUGAAUCCAAGACUAAUCCAUUCCAAAUCCUCCCAAAUCGAAGUUUAGGAUCCGGCGAAUUCCGGAGUCGGAGCAUGGCAAUCACCGUUAAUUUUAAUGGCGACGGCAGCGGAUUCCCUUAUAUCUAAAGGAAUCUUCACAAAAUCAGGCAUAUUUUGUUAACACUUCAAACUGAAUCCAAUAACAGACGUGUGGCCAUCGAUGACCGGCACUUGGCUACCGGCGACAGCGACUACAACUGUACUCGCAGAUGAUGGCGGCGAUGACGGUGGCGUGUCUACUUGCGUGUGGCGGUGCUUGACACCACCACAGCGGCGCAUGCGGUGGCGCGUGGGGACCCAAGAUCUACUUUAGGUUUUCCUAUGUCUCAAAUCGUGCGGCGCUCUUUGUUUAGGCAAAUUCAAUGCCGUUAAUCAUGUUUAGGUGAUAGAAUUUGUGAAACACUAGAAAGUGCUAAAUAAAACUAAGUAAUAUUUUAUAGGUGCAA